UACGGGGGGGGCAAGCGUUGUUCGGAAUUACUGGGCGUAAAGGGCGCGUAGGCGGCUCGUGACAAGUCACUUGUGAAAUCUCCGGGCUUAACUCGGAACGGUCAAGUGAUACUGUCGGACUAGAGUACAGAAGGGGCAACUGGAAUUCUCGGUGUAGCGGUGAAAUUCGUAGAUAUUCGCAAGAACACCAGUGGCGAAGGCGGCUCACUGGCCCGAUACUGACGCUGAGGCACGAAAGCGUGGGGAGCAAACAGG
rnacentral:rRNA from 1 species